ACUACUGUUGCUAUUACAUGUCUCCAUGGGUUUCUCUCUGAAACACUUUCUUACCACUGUUUUAGUGGCAAACUUAUUUUCCUAGGUUUGUAAUCUCUCUUCAGCCCAUGUAUUUCCAUGUGUUGUAGUUUUUCUUGCCAUUCUCCCUCUUUUCCCCUUGCUUCUGAAGAGUGUUGCAUUCCGCAGUUCUGUUGCCUCUCUGCUGUGUGUUUCUCUGAUGGCUGUUGCUGCUUUGCUUUAGAGCCACAGGAGUGAGUCCUUGAGUGAAUAACUACAUAUCACCCUGAAUAGAACAACCCUCAUGUACUUCAUCUGCAAAAAAUUCAGGAAAACUGGAAACUGCAUAAUAGCAACCAGCAGGAUAGCUGAGCCAAUUCAAGACUUUGGCACCAGAAGGCUUCUGUAGCCAUUUUGAUGUAUCCAAGUCUGUCUCUUCUGUUUCAUUCCCAAACGUAUUUGCCCCAUAAAAAAUGCAAAGAUAAAACAGCAUAAAUGUGUAUAGAAGAUAUCGCUUAGCAAAGUCAACAGAGGGGAAAAACAGUGUUGAGAAUUCUACCACAACCAAACAAGACUCUAAUAAUAAAAGAAAUACAGUAGUGAUAGC